CAGCAGCCGCGGUAAUACGUAGGGGGCGAGCGUUGUCCGGAAUUACUGGGCGUAAAGGGUGCGUAGGCGGCCCUUUAAGUCGGAUGUGAAAGCCCGCGGCUUAACCGCGGAAUGACAUUCGAAACUGGAGGGCUUGAGUGUCGGAGAGGGUAGUGGAAUUCCCAGUGUAGCGGUGAAAUGCGUAGAUAUUGGGAGGAACACCAGUGGCGAAGGCGACUACCUGGACGAUAACUGACGCUGAGGCACGAAAGCUAGGGGAGCAAACAGGAUUAGAUACCCUGGUAGUCCUAGCCGUAAACGAUGGGUACUAGGUGUGGGUGGUUUCGAUACCAUCCGUGCCGUAGUUAACGCAUUAAGUACCCCGCCUGGGGAGUACGUGCGCAAGCAUGAAACUCAAAGGAAUUGACGG
rnacentral:rRNA from 1 species